GUAGGUGGCAAGCGUUGUCCGGAAUUAUUGGGCGUAAAGCGCGCGCAGGCGGUUCUUUAAGUCUGAUGUGAAAGCCCACGGCUCAACCGUGGAGGGUCAUUGGAAACUGGAGAACUUGAGUACAGAAGAGGAAAGCGGAAUUCCACGUGUAGCGGUGAAAUGCGUAGAGAUGUGGAGGAACACCAGUGGCGAAGGCGGCUUUCUGGUCUGUAACUGACGCUGAGGCGCGAAAGCGUGGGGAGCAAACAGGAUUAGAUGCCCUGGUAGUCCACGCCGUAAACGACGAGUGCUAAGUGUUAGGGGGUUUCCGCCCCCCUUAGUGCUGCAGCUAACGCAUUAAGCACUCCGCCUGGGAGUACGGCCGCAAGGCUG
rnacentral:rRNA from 1 species